UGACGUAGGGUGCAAGCGGUUGUCCGGAAGUCAACUGGGCGUAAAGGGCGGCGUAGGCGGCCCGUGGACAGUCGGUGGUGAAAGCCCGUGGCUCAACUCUGCGGGUCGGCCAGCCGGAUACUCCGAGGGCUCGAGUUUGGUAGAGGCAGAUGGAAUUCCGGGUGUAGCGGUGGAAUGCGUAGAGAGUCCGGAAGAACACCCGUGGCCGAAGGCGGGUCUCUGGGCCGAUACUGACGCUGAGGAGCGGAAAGCGUGGGGGAGCAAACAGG
rnacentral:rRNA from 1 species